rnacentral:tRNA from 1 species
GUGAGUGUAGGCUAGUCUGGUCAAGUCGCUUGGUUUGGGUCCAAGAGAUCGCAGGUUCGAAUCCUGCCACUCGCACCA